rnacentral:lncRNA from 1 species
GAACUUAUGGGCACCUCCUUUCUUGUGGUGGAAAUGAAUGAUUCGAUGUAUUCAUGAACAUUUUGUGUAGUUCCCAUUGAAAUCAAGCUGAGCACCCCUGUUUGCACAAAUACAAAAAACUGAUUAGUAUAAAGCAAACUGUACUAUGAAUUGACAGUUUCAACAGGCACAUACAUGGUCCAUGUAGAGCACACUUUUAGAAAAAUGGAACUCACCAGAAAGAAUCCUAGAACAACAUUGUACUCGCGCAUCACAGAAAAAAAUGGAGAUUUGUCAGUCCUUCUGAGCUGAAGUUAGUUUGGUCUUGUGGGGAGUAAUGUAACCAUCCUUCAACUGCUCCUUCUGAUGAGAAGAUAGACAGG